UAGAGUUUGAUCCUGGCUCAGGACGAACGCUGGCGGCGUGCCUAAUACAUGCAAGUAGAACGCUGAAGGAGGAGCUUGCUUCUCUGGAUGAGUUGCGAACGGGUGAGUAACGCGUAGGUAACCUGCCUGGUAGCGGGGGAUAACUAUUGGAAACGAUAGCUAAUACCGCAUAAGAGUAGAUGUUGCAUGACAUUUGCUUAAAAGGUGCAAUUGCAUCACUACCAGAUGGACCUGCGUUGUAUUAGCUAGUUGGUGGGGUAACGGCUCACCAAGGCGACGAUACAUAGCCGACCUGAGAGGGUGAUCGGCCACACUGGGACUGAGACACGGCCCAUACUCCUACGGGAGGCAGCAUUAGGGAAUCUUCGGCAAUGGACGGAAGUCUGACCGAGCAACGCCGCGUGAGUGAAGAAGGUUUUCGGAUCGUGAAGCUCUGUUGUAAGACAAGAACGAGUGUGAGAGUGGAAAGUUCACACUGUGACGGUAUCUU
rnacentral:rRNA from 1 species